UUUUUUUUUUUUUGUUCAUUUUGGUAUGCCAAAGUGAAAUGUAAUAUAGCUCACCAACCUUGACACACUAAAGAAUGAUUGUUUGCCAUAUUUUGACCAAGUAUUGAAUUGUGGAUUGUGAUAUUAAUGGUUGAAAAUAUUUUUCAUUUUUAAAUUUUUGGUUGCAGUGUUUAAUGUAUUAUGGUGUAGAAAAUUCAUUCUAUAUGUAAAAUUUAAUUUAUAAGCAUACAAUAUUAUAUUAAUAAUAAAUGUGGAAAAUUUUAAAUUGUUUUUGUCAUGUUCUUUGUGUGGUUAGAAAUAUGUCAAUUAGAAAGUUCUGCGACGUUUAUGCUUGGACAAAAAAGAAACAAAUAUUAUUUAAAAACAAAUUUAGCCUGGGGAGAAAUUUUGUUUUGUCCACAAAGAUCUUUUCGUUGGCAAAACUAGCUUCCGCCCACGAAACAAACGUGGCCAGAAAGUUUAUUUUUGUCGACGUGAUGAUGAUCAUGGGUAAAAAAUACCUUUCGUUUUUUUGUGGUCAGAAGGUUUACUUUUGGCGACGUGAUGUAAUCGUGGGCAAAAAUACAUUUUUGUCGACAUUUUUUUCGUGGCUAGAAAUAUUUUUUCUGCCCACGAUUUUAAUUUGCAUGAACAUUUGUGCCGACGCAACGUAAAAAACGUAGGCAAAGUAAAAGACGACGGUGUUUCGGCCACCCAACGUGCCCACGAAGAAAAAGUGUUGGCAAAAGGUCUGGCCACGUUUUUCAUAAGAAGUGUCCAUGGUUUUCUGCGUGGGCAAAGACGAAAAUUCUUGUAGUGUCUUUUGUUGUAUGUUUUCUGUAGCCAUAAAAAAUAUUCGGGAAACCUUUUCUCCAAGAAGAAUCCGGUUGUAUGUGGGGUAUCCAAUUACCAUCUUAGUUUCCCUCUAAAUCCAAGUUUACUAAGUUAUCUUGAUGGGUAAAAUAAAUUAAAUGGGACCUUUGAGGAGGUUGUAAAGGAAGUGUCUUAUAGGAAUUCUUUUUCAUAAUGACUUGUUAAGAUAGCUAGUGCUUUUGAUGUUUAAAUAUUACCAAAGGUUCUAAAUUAUGUUAAUUUUGGGGAAGGAAAAACAAUAAAUUGAAGAAUUGAACCCUCGUUGAAGCCAUUUUUAUGGGUUCUCCAUAUACAUUAAUGAGCUAUGUUUGGGUAGAUUUUUCUUAUGGUUGUUGAAUUAAGUUUUGACACUGAAAGUUUUUUUUUUAGGCUUUCUGAAAGUUGAUGUCUGUUCAAGGAAGGGAAUUUUUGGAUUGAGAAAUUAUAGGAUUCAAACUAAGUGUUAAAUAUGAUUUGAUUUAGGCUAUCUCCAUAUUCUAGCUUUUCUGUUUUAGGGAUUGUAUAGUAUGUUUUUUACCCAAAUUUGGAAUUAACGGUAUCUAUCCUUAUCGAGGCUUAUUUGUGUGAAGACACAUUUUUUGUUGUUCAAAAUUCUCUAGAAUGAAAAGAUUCAUUGUGUGUUACACUCACAUGACCUCACACUUUAAUAAUUUGAUAGUUGUUAACCGACCGUUAUGUUGUUCUACCUAGUUUCUUCUUAUGGUAAUCGAUAUUUCUGAUAUUUUUGGUCGACUGUGGAUCAACAUUUAUGGCUGAAGUAAAUGAUUGGCGUGACUCGACGGAUAACCAUAUAUGUUGGGCUACUUCAACUACCAUCUUUCCUACUUUAUAUUUUUUGGAUUUUUGGACCGAGCAUUAGAAGAAAUCUGACCUUUAACGUCGGUUGAAAAAAAAUGAAAACGGAUCUUUAAUGUCAGUUUUUUAAAUGGGGAUGUUUAGUGUCGGUUUUCAACCGUCAUAAAAAAGUUAUGGUAAUUUUUUUUUUUUAAAUUUUGUAGAGUCAAGUAUCCCUCGUUUAGUCUCACAUUUCUUCCUCGCCUCACGAUUUCUUCUCUCUCAAUUUUCUCUCAGUUUCUCCUCACUCUUCUCAAUCUCACUUUACUCCACCGUCAAGUCCGCCACAGUGGUGCCGUCCCAAAUCUUCAAAAGAUAUGUCGUCCAUCGUCGCACUGUUCCAGAUCUUCGAAGAUCUGUCGAACGUCGUCCCAAAUAGAAACCCUAAGUAUUCUCCAUGAAAUUGAAUCCCUUGUUUGAAACUCACGUUCAUCGUGCGACAUCAUCUUCUCUUUUUUGUGAGCCUUGGUAUAUAGCUACAGAUUUUGUUUUUCUUCUUUCACAAUAGUUUCUAAAUUAUCAAAGUUUCAUUUAAGUGUUAAGAUAUCAAUUCGUAGGAACAAGAGCUUAACUUCAAUUUCAAACCAGAAUGGAGAUCCUCCACAUUCCAUGGUCAUCGUGGCUAAUAAUAAGAAGAUAAUGGACACGAAUCCUAGAACAAAUGGGGCAGUAUAUCAUCAAGAUUCAAAACCCUCGAGCAGUAAGUAAGAUUGCACUUUAUUUUCCUAUUUUAACAAAAAGCACAUAGGCAAAAGAAUCAAUAGUUGCAUUUGAAAAGAUAGAAUUAAUUAUAAUAUGUUUUCCAAGUGUACUUAUCAAAGUAAUCUCUUUCGUCUUUUCAAAUUUUCCUCUCCUUUUUCCUUCGUAUUCAUCCUCAAGGUUCCAUGCUUUUUCUCUUCGCUUAUCCUCCAAUCUCUCAUUUUUUUCUCUUUUUUUAUCAAUCUUUUCCCACUCUUUUUUCCUUUUUCCUUAAAUAUAUAUUAACAAAACUGGCCCUCAACGUUUUUAUCGUUCUUUUCUUUUUAAAUUCAUUAUCCUUCUUUUCUUUAAUUUAAGGUAUCUCAUCUUUUCUUCACCUUUUUUAUGGUUUCUUUUAUAAAAAGAAAAGAAUAAUAUUUAUGACCAUUUUUUUAUUUAUAUUUAUAAAAUUAAAUAAACAUGGAAGAUGGAGCUCAAUUGUUAGAGCACUCGCUUGGCCAGUUCGAUAGACACAGUUAGACAUAGUUAGACAUAGGGAUUGAUACCCAUUGGCAGCAUCUCCAUGGUCUUUUAAUCAAAUUCAAUAACACAUCUAUAUUUCUUUAUUUAUUAGAUUGUUGACUAGAAAAUAAGUUGGGGUUUUUUCCUCUUUUUAAAAAGUUAUCUUUCUUUUAAGAAUUCGAUUAAAAACUAUUUCGUAAAAAUAAUUGUAACAAAUGAGAUUUAGACUCACAACCAACACAAGACUUGUGCAAGGGGCACAACCACUUCAGCACAAGUAUAAUUUAGGCAAAGAAAAGCCGAAUUUAAUAUGUACUGUAAUCUAACACUUCAAAAAAUUGAUUCCAAACUAUCUCCAAAUCUAUCAACUUUGUACGGCUAAGCAAGAGAGAUACAAAAAGUAGAAGAUUCCAUUUUAUCAAAAUUAGACACCAUGGAAAUGAAUAUGUUGACUGUUAUAAACCACACACAACUAUAUAAAUACCAAACUCCUAACUCCUAAGUAUUCACGAACAAAACACAUAAACUUUACUACAUAAUAUAUCAUCUUCUAAAACUAUCUGUCCAUCAAAAGUAGAUUGUUGCAGUAUGAGUUUCGUAAUUAAGGGAUCACCCAUUCCAAACAUCGAUCAGCGAAAGGACGUGCAACAAAUUGGAGGGAUUGCAGUGGACAUACACAACGAAGAAAAAUCAGACACUUUGAUUUUCCAUCGUGUGAUAAACGGCCUGGAGCUUGUGAUUAAUGAUAUAAAUGGUAGCAUAUUGUCGUAUACUCUUGUGGUGGAAGCUAUAAAUAAGGAUAAAAAUAUCUGGACAUAUGUGACUUCCAUUAAAAUUACAAAACCAUCAAGCUAUGAACUCGUAUAUUUUAGAGAUCCCCUCGGGUACUACCCCGAAUAGUAUGAAAACAAUCCUUCUAUAUGUGUGUGUGUGUGAGAGGCAUUAUUGUCUUUUGCCUAUAUGAAAAUAAAUGGUAUAACCAUAUAAUAAGAACAAUGAUACUUACCUAUUAUCUCUCUUUCUAGUUUUUCUUUUUUAUCAAAUUUUGCAGUCAAGUAUUCAUGGUGCAUUUCAGAAAUUAUAAUUUGUUAUAUAAUCGUAACUUGUUUGUCUGUCUUAGUACUUCAAUAGGAAUUAAGGGAGAGUAACCAAUGGCAACCCAUAUCUAUGACCUCAUUCUUUUCAAAAUAUAAAACAAACCACAGUUAAUAUCGAUCAUUAAUGCACAACUUCUAGGUAUUUUCCAUUUGUGUUAGACAUCUCCUCCUUUCUCACCACUACCAGAAAAAGUGGCUUUCUUGACCUUUGUAGUUUUAAUUGCUUGACGUCUUUUGAAUAAAAACGUUAAGAAAUGGGUGAUUUCAAAGAAAAAACGUCAAGAAUUUCUAUGAAAAGACGGAGAUAUGCCAAUCUUCAACUUUCUUGACGUUUUUUAAACGUCGAGUAAUAUUUAUUUAUCCUUGACAUUUUAAAAACGUCAAGUUCUAUUAAAUAAAUAAUAAAAAACAAAAACGCGUCGUCUCCCUUCUUUAUCGAAUUAAUUGUUUUGGCCUAGAAAUCUUCUUCUUCAUAUUUCCAAAUUUCGCAUCUUCUUCUUCUUCACGACUGAGUAUUCGAAAUCUCCAUCUUCACAUUGUCGUCACGCAUGAGCUUCCGUAAUCUUCUUCUCCACAGUGUCGUUCGUCACGCCGUCGUCUCGUCACAAUUCUCCGUCUUCGAAAAGUAACCAUCGGUCCUUCACUUGAUCCUCUUGUCUUCAAAAAAUGCACACUCUGUCAUAUGAAAUUGGACAUCUGAAAUCGCCGUUCUUAACGUUGGGGAAGCCCUAUCCCACACCCGUUCUUGAAGAUAUUCGAAAUUUGUUUUCACACUCGUUCGAAAUCACCAUUCGAAAUCGCCACCGGGGAUUAAUUCCAUCUCUUCACACCUAUCUCUUCACACUCAAUCUCUUCCUUUUGAAACAUCCUUGAUGCUUUUGACCGCCGACUGAAGUCCUCCAAACAAACACAUUUUGUUCUCUGACCACAAAUUGAAUUAGGUGCGUUGUCCGGUUAAGUUGAUGCUUUAAAACCAUUUCUUUCUCCAAACGCUUCCUUUUUGUUUUCACAUGAUAAAGAACUGAUAAAUCAUUUUCUCUUUUGGUUUUGGGACGGGAUGAGUGUACUAUACAAAUAUUAACCUAGUUGAGAUGUGUUAGUGUGUGAAAUUUUUCAGAGAAAAAAAAAAAGAGACAUCUUCUCCAAAUUUUUAUCUCCCUCAACUAUCUUCCUUCAAUGUCUUUUAAAGAAAGAAAAAAACCAACACCAACAAACCUUCUAUCCCUUUUUUUUCUUCUUUUUCUUCCUUAAGCUUUUGGGUCUUUUCUUUAAUUAUGUAUACGUCUUUGUCUUUUUUCCUAUUUUUCACAGAGAAGAAAAAAUUUAAAGGAUUUUUUAAAAAAAUAAUAAUAGAAGAAAACAGGUGACGAGAAAAGAAUAAAAUUUUCUUUAUACAUUUUCUUUUCUUUCUCUAUCAUUUAAAAAAAGCAGAUCACUUGGAGUAAAUCUUUACUAAAUACAACUUCUAACUAAGUUUAUUUUAACGUGAGAUUUGAUUUGCUAAAGAAAAAAAAAAAGUAAAGACACAUGAUGAAAUGUAUAAGAAAAAAACUUUCUUUGAAUUGGCAGAGAUUAUCUAAAAAAAUUUUAUUCUACGAAACUUUAUUUCCCACUAUUUUCAAAUGAAAAGGGUCCCUACUUAUAAACCGGGGUAUACCACAAAUAGAAAAAAUGAAUAAGAAUAAAAACAAAAUUAGAUAUUAUGUGAAUAAAAUAAUUUUUCAUUUUCUUAAAAUAAAUUAAAUGAGAUAUUUUGAGAUUUUUGUGAAAAUAAAUUAAUAAAUACGUUACCUAAAUUUGUACAACAUAAAAGUUGAUUAUUAUUAGUUGUCCCACAUUUUAAUUCAAGAGACCCCUCUCAAUAUAUAUUUCAAUUAACCUAAGAUCAAAAGUAACGAGACUAAUUAAAUAUACAAAUUCUCGUUAAAUUAGUUUUUCUUCUAAUCUUCAGCCGACAACCGUGGUGGUUCGCUGUUAUUUUCAUCUUUCACAACUAGCAUCCUUUUGCUAAAUUACUGUUUUUCCUCACAUUUUCUUCAUUCUCUUCCAUCUUUCUCUCUUUUAUUUUCCCUUUGAUACACUUCAUACACACUUGCAAUCAAGAAAAAAUGAGUGGGGUUAGGUAAAAUGUGUCAUUGAAAAUAAAAAUACAGAUUUCCUUUUACACAAAUUAAGUUGUCUUGACACAAUCUUUGCGUUGUUAAUUAACGAUAUAUUUUUUGUGUUAUUAAUUUUUUUUUUAAUUCCCUCUCUCACGCAAUUAAAAUAAACCAUUGGUGCAUUUAUCCUUUUUCUCUUUACCAAAAACAUUCUCCAACUGUGUAACAUCUAUCUGAAACGCUAAAAAACCCUUAUCUUCCAUUUUUCUUCCAUCUACCGCCGCCGAGACAGUCCUCCAGCCACCGUCGUCGAAAUGCCAAACCAAGCCAACGUCGUCGAACCGAGAAAUUUAACCACUACAGUCGAAUAAUUUUUGUUUUAAAAGGAUACUCUAGCCACCUAAUUUUAUCCUACAUUUUUUUAUAUAUAUUUUUUAAAAUAAUGACUAAGAUUUUUUAUUUUUCCUUAUAAUAAUCAUUUUAUUAAAAAAUUUCUUUGACGACCAUAUUUAUCAUAAAAAAAUCAAUUUAUUUAAAACAAAUCUUUUAAUGUUAGAUUUACCUUAUUUGUACUAGGAAAAAGAUAUUUGUUUUUCCUUAUUGUUAGCCUCCAACUCUUUGAGCAACCGACUAAGGUAAUCCAUUGCAAGCAAGAAAAUAAAGGGGGAGAUUGGAUCACCUUGUCUAAUACCUCUAAUAGGUUGUAUUUUUCCCCUUUGGUCUUUCAUUAAUUAGUAUGGAGUAUUUUACACUGCUAAGACAGUUGCUUAUCCAAGAUCUCCAUUUAUUUGGGAAUCCUUUUUUCAACCGGAUGAAGUCUAUAAACUACCAAUUUAACUUGUCAAAAGGCCUUUUCAAUAACAAGUUUAAUUAUAAAGCCCUUUGUUUUUUUUACUUUCCAGAAAUCAACAACUUCGUUGGCAAUCAAGAUAGCAUCAGUUGUCUGUCUCCCCCUAACAAAGGCCAUUUGGUUUUCGGAAUCCGUAUCAUGGAGAGUGUUUUUUAGCCUUUCUGUAAGGAAAGAUCAAGCCUAGCGAAGCGAAGCGACCACUGGAGAUUAAUGUAAUAGCGAGACCAAUCUAAAGGAUGCGAAGAAGAAGAUUGACUUAAGAGGAGAUAAAGACUUUAAAAAAAGUUCAGACGAGACUGCUCUGUUAGGAUCGAAGAGGUCUGGAGGACCCGUCCAGAGGCGCGAAGCGAAGCGACUGUGAAAGAGCCCUUAGAUAGGAAAAAUAGGCCAAUAGGAGAGGAGCCUUUGUUUUUGCUAGGCUUUCUCUUUCCGACUACAAUAUCUCUGUCUUAUAGAACCUUGUAAAUCAAUGUCAAAGUCUAUCAAAGUAGAUGCUUUAUUUUACAGUCAUGAAAGAGUGAACAACAGAAACUAAAACAGAUGUGGAUCCUUCCUCCAAAGGCUGAGAGGUCAGGGCUCUUUCUUACCCCACGAACCUUGAUAAGCGACCCUUUGUUAAGGGUCGACCUGCUUUCCACUGCUCCACGUGUCUUUAGUAACCCUAUUUUCUUGAGUUGGGUUCAUAAUUUCCAUAACUAUAUAAUUUUACUUUUCUUGCAUAUAAUUUUUCAUAUAUAUUUAACUUUAUUUUCCUAUUUUAACAAAAAGCACAUAGGCAAAAGAAUCAAUAGUUGCAUUUGAAAAGAUAGAAUUAAUUAUAAUAUGUUUUCCAAGUGUACUUAUCAAAGUAAUCUCUUUCGUCUUUUCAAAUUUUCUUCUGCUUUUUCCUUCGUAUUCAUCCUCAAGGUUCCAUGCUUUUUCUCUUCGCUUAUCCUCCAAUCUCUCAUUUUUUUCUCUUUUUUUAUCAAUCUUUUCCCACUCUUUUUUCCUUUUUCCUUAAAUAUAUAUUAACAAAACUGGCCCUCAACGUUUUUAUCGUUCUUUUCUUUUUAAAUUCAUUAUCCUUCUUUUCUUUAAUUUAAGGUAUCUCAUCUUUUCUUCACCUUUUUUAUGGUUUCUUUUAUAAAAAGAAAAGAAUAAUAUUUAUGACCAUUUUUUUAUUUAUAUUUAUAAAAUUAAAUAAACAUGGAAGAUGGAGCUCAAUUGUUAGAGCACUCGCUUGGCCAGUUCGAUAGACACAGUUAGACAUAGUUAGACAUAGGGAUUGAUACCCAUUGGCAGCAUCUCCAUGGUCUUUUAAUCAAAUUCAAUAACACAUCUAUAUUUCUUUAUUUAUUAGAUUGUUGACUAGAAAAUAAGUUGGGGUUUUUUCCUCUUUUUAAAAAGUUGUCUUUCUUUUAGGAAAUCGAUUAAAAACUAUUUCGUAAAAAUAAUUGUAACAAAUGAGAUUUGGACUCACAACCAACACAACACUUGUGCAAGGGGGCACAACCACUUCAGCACAAGUAUAAUUUAGGCAAAGAAAAGCCGAAUUUACUAUGUACUACUAUAAUCUAACACUUAUAAGUAAGAGAGAUACAAAACUAUCUUCAAAUUGAUUCCAAACUAUCUUCAAAUCUAUCAACUGUGUACUGCUAAGCAAGAGAGAUACAAAAAGUAGAAGAUUCCAUUUUAUCAAAAUUAGACACAAUGGAAAUGAAUAUGUUGACUGUUAUAAACCACACACAACUAUAUAAAUACCAAACUCCUAACUCCUAAGUAUUCACGAACAAAACACAUAAACUUUACUACAUAAUAUAUCAUCUUCUAAAACUAUCUGUCCAUCAAAAGUAGAUUGUUGCAGUAUGAGUUUCGUAAUUAAGGGAUCACCCAUUCCAAACAUCGAUCAGCGAAAGGACGUGCAACAAAUUGGAGGGAUUGCAGUGGACAUACACAACGAAGAAAAAUCAGACACUUUGAUUUUCCAUCGUGUGAUAAACGGCCUGGAGCUUGUGAUUAAUGAUAUAAAUGGUAGCAUAUUGUCGUAUACUCUUGUGGUGGAAGCUAUAAAUAAGGAUAAAAAUAUCUGGACAUAUGUGACUUCCAUUAAAAUUACAAAACCAUCAAGCUAUGAACUCGUAUAUUUUAGAGAUCCCCUCGGGUACUACCCCGAAUAGUAUGAAAACAAUCCUUCUAUAUGUGUGUGUGUGUGAGAGGCAUUAUUGUCUUUUGCCUAUAUGAAAAUAAAUGGUAUAACCAUAUAAUAAGAACAAUGAUACUUACCUAUUAUCUCUCUUUCUAGUUUUUCUUUUUUAUCAAAUUUUGCAGUCAAGUAUACAUGGUGCAUUUCAGAAAUUAUAAUUUGUUAUAUAAUCGUAACUUGUUUGUCGGUCUUAGUGCUUCAUUAGGAAUUAAGGGAGAGCAACAUAUAGCGAGGCAUAUCUUUGACCUCAUUCAUUUCAAAAAUAUGAAACAAGGCCAAAGUGAAUAUAAUUAAUGCACAACUUCUAGGUAUUUUCCAUCGAUUUAAGGAUUCUCCUCCUUUUUCACGUUUCUCUCUCUCUCAAAAGCUUCCUUUUUUUUUCAUAUGAUAAAAAUCUUUUGAUACUAGUUGAGAUGUUUAGUACACCCUAAUCUCUCUUCACGUGAAACUAAAAGAUCCAAAGGAAAAAAAAAGACAUUUUCUCUAAAUUUUCAUCUCCCUCCACUAUCUUCCUUCUCUUUCCUUCAAAGAAAGAAAAUAACCAACAGCAACAAACCUCUAUCCCUUUUUUAUUUUUUCUUUUCCUUCCUUAAGCUUCUAGGUUUUUCUUUAAUUAUGUACAUGUGUAUUUUUUUUUCCUUCUAAUUUCUUCGUUUUUUUAAUAUCUACAAAUCAAACUGCCUCUCUACACAUCUCACGGCCUAUCUAGCAUAGUCUUACAAUAUAUUAGUGGGAUUUAUAACUUCUUUUAAAUUAAGGGUCGUUCUAGUUGAGAUGUAUUAUUGGUGCACCGUUUGACUCCUACUGCAAUAUUGUGAAUUUUAUAAAAAAAACAUAAAGAAAAAAGUUAUGGUAAAAGUUCUAAGAGCAAGUAAUGAUUUCUAUACCUUUUAUGACCUUAGCAGUAGUACUUUUAUGAGAAAAGACUGUAUUUUCAUUACCAUCACUAAGCCACAAUCUUUUGCAUCUUUGAGUCCAUAAUUGUGUCUCUUUAUGAAUUUUAUUGCUAAGAUCAGUUUUGAGGGCUAUUCUACGUGAGCUAUCCACAUCAUUCAAUUUAUUUGUAAAACGGAAAGGAGCAGGACCCCAAUUUAAGAUCAAAAGCUUCUAAAACCAUCGAAAAAUAAUCAGACGUAAUUCGGGACAUAACUUUGGAAUAAUGAAUUGAGAAAGAAUUUUCCCAUUUUUGAGCAAGGAGAAACCUAUCAAGCCAAGAUAAAGUUGGAGAAAGGCGGAGAUUUGACCAAGUAAAUUUUGCAUUAGUGAGGGGAGGGUCAAUAAGAUUACAAUUCUCAAUGAAGGAAUUGAACUUUUUCAUACUGUGCUUACCUGGAUUGCUUGCUGAUGUUUCUUUUGCCCACUUAAUGAUAUUAAAAUCACCUCCCAACAACCGGAUUGGUAAACUAAGAUUGUUUUAAUCAUUCAAGCACAUCCCAAAAGUCAUUUCUAUUUCUCCUUUUUGCUGGGCCAUAAACGGUCGUAAUACACCAAGAAGGGCCAUUGAUAGGUUUGAUAUUUGCAGAUAAACAGAAAGUGCCAACAAUGGAUUGUUCCAUAGAAAAAUUUUGAACAUCCCACGUUAAUAAAAUACCCCAGAGUUGUCAUUUGCUUUUAAGGAGUACCACUUUAUGCUGAUAAAGCUCCACAACGACUUAAUAAUAGCUUUGUUGGAGGCGUUGACGAGCCCACUCUAAAUUUACUCUAAAUCUCACAAACUUUUAAGAGAAGAAACUUGUUCUCUUAGAAAACUCAAUAACACACAAGAGAAUAAUGUUGUUCUCUUGAAACUCACUUACUUUUUAAAACUCAAUUUGCUUCUAUUGAUUUGAUUCUUUUAUCUUUCAUACAAAUGAAGAAAAUGUUCUCUAUAUAUAGUACUCAAGAGACACUUCCUAAAAGACACAAAAUAAAUAAAGUACAUGUAUACAUAUCAUUCAUGUACUUGAAUAAUUACAUGUAUCUAGAAAUGCAUAUGUAUCUUGAAAUUAGAAAUGUAUCUAUUAAUGGUUUAUCCAUAAUGUAUCUAGCUUAUUAAUUUCUAACAUGCCCCCUUAAGCUAGACUUCCCAAACUUCGAGCUUCUCUUUCAUUUUCAAGAAUAAAUCUGUCUUUAAUGCUUUUGUGAAUACGUCUGCAACUUGAUCUUGAGUCUUGCAAUACUUGAUAUAUACUUCUCCAUCUUUGAUCAAUUCUCUGAUGAAAUGAUAUUUGAUGUUUAUGUGUUUGCUUCUUCCAUGAAAAACGGGAUUCUUCGAAAGUGAAAUAGAUGAUUGAUUGUCACAGAACAUGAUGGUCCCUUUCUCUUGAGGACACUUCAAUUCAUGUAGUACAUUUCUUAGCCAAAGUGCUUGACAACUAGCAACAGACAAAGAAAUGUAUUCAGCUUCUAUUGUGGACAAUGCUACAACAUCUUGCUUCUUUGAUGCCCAUGAAACUGCUCCAGAACCAAUAUUAAAUACAUACCCAGAAGUACUUUUGAAAUCAUCAAUAUUUCCUCCCCAAUCACUAUCACUGUAGCCAACAAGAAAAUUAUCCACAUUCCUUUUAUAGUGGAUUCCAUGAUCAACUGUUCCAAGAAUGUAUCUAAGAACUCUCUUUCCAGCUUCCCAAUGACUUCUCUUUGGUGAUGUCAUAAAUCUACUCAAUAAAUUGACCGAGAACAUAAUAUCAGGUCUAGUUGUAGUUAAAUACAUUAAACUUCCAACCAGACUUCUAUAAAUGGUGGCAUCAAAAGCUUCACUAACAUCAUGUUUACUUAACUUUAAACCCAAUUCCAUAGGAGUACUGACAGGAUAAGCAUUCUCCAUUUUGAACUUUUUCAGCAAAUCUUUUGCAUACUUCUUUUGGAAAAUUGCAAUCUCAUUACACCUUGUUUAACUUCAAUACAAAGAAAAUAAUGAAGUAAACCCAUAUCAGUCAUCUCAAAUUCCUUUUUCAUGCUCUCUUUGAAUUCUUCAAUCAUCAUAUUUGAGUUGCCCGUAAAUAUUAAAUCAUCAACAUAUAGACAAAUUAUCAAGAAAUUACCAUUUUCAUCUCCUUUGGUGUAGAGAGCAUGUUCAUAUGGACAUCUUCUGAAACCAUCAUUUAAGAAAAAAUUGUCGAUGCGACUGUACCAAGCCCUUGGUGCUUGCUUUAGCACAUACAAGGCUUUCUUUAAUCGACACACCUUAUUUUCUUCUCCAAUCUUUGCAUAACCGGGGGGCUGCUCAACAUAUAUUUCAUCCUCUAAAUACCCAUUUAGGAAUGCUGACUUUACAUCCAUUUGAUGAACUUUCCAUUCAUUUUUUGCUGCAAGGGCUAACAACAAACGAACAGUCUCCAAGCGAGUUACCGGUGCAAAAACUUCUUCAUAAUCCACACCAAACUUUUGUUUGUAACCUUUUACAACGAAUCUGGCUUUGUAUUUUUGCACUUUUCCGUUUUGCUUUAGAUUUGUUUUAUAGAUCCAUUUGACUCCAAGAGCCCUUUUAUUUUCUGGUAAUUUUACUAACUCCCAUGUCUCGUUUCUUCUUAUUGCAUCAAUCUCUUGAUUCAUUGCAUCUUCCCAAUUUUCAUCUUGAAUUGCUUCUUCAAAGUUUACAGGAUCAACAUUUGCAAAUAAAGCAAAAUCAACAUGUUCUUCAUCUAGUAUCCUUCUUGAAGUAUUAUAGAUCUCUUGAAUAUAUUUCUGGUCUUCCUUGAAGUAGUUUCUUUAUCACUUGUGGAGUGUGAUGAAGUAGGUAAAGUCAGUGGUUGAGUUACUUCAAGCUCCAAGUCUCGAGCAUCUUCUUUGCCAUCCAUAUCAACAUGUAAUGGAUUUUGGUCUUCAUUUGGUGUAUUCCAUUGCCACAAUUUUGCUUCAUCGAACUUGACAUCUCGACUAAUAAUAACUUUCUUACUUACCGAGUUGUAUAGUCUGUAGGCCUUGGAGUUCUCAUUGUGCCGAACAAAAAUGCAUUUUUCUGAUUUAUCAUCUAGCUUACCUCUUUUCUCAUCUGAAAUGUGAGAGUAAGCAAUGCACCCAAACACUCUUAGGUGACUAACAGUUGGUUUCAAUCUGCUCCAUGCUUCUUGAGAAGUAAUACCUUGCACACUUUUCGUUGAAGCUCUAUUUAGGAGAUAAACAGCACAAGUUACUGCGUCUCCCCAAAAUUGAUCAGGAAGUUUCUUUGCCUUCAACAUACUUCUUGCAAGUUCCACUAUUAUUCUAUUUUUCCUCUUUGCAAUUCCGUUUUGUUGAGGAGUUCUUUGAACAGUCUUCUGAUGCUUGAUUCCAUUUUCCUUCAAGAAAUCUGCAAAAACAAUAUAUUCUCCUCCACGAUCCAAACGCAAUGAUUUCAAUUUCAAGUUUCUUUCAUUUUCCACCAUUGCUUUGAAUGUCUUGAAACAUUAGAAAGUAGCACUCUUUUCUUUGAGUAGAUAAAUCCAUGUUUUUCGACUGUAGUUAUCAAUAAAUGUGAGAAAAUAACGGUUACCUCCAUGUGUAGUAGUUCUCAUAGGUCCACAUAAAUUUGUAUGAACAAGCUCAAGUGGUUUUGAUGCUCUCCAAGAACCUCCAGUCGGAAAUGAAUUUCGAUGAUGCUUUCCGAAAACACAUGCUUCACAGAGUUGAUCUUCCUUUUUAAUAUUUGACAUUCCUCUCACCAUAUGUUGUUGACACAUGUGAGACAAAGUGUCAAAACUUAGGUGCCCAAAUCGACAAUGUCAUAACCAUGAGGUGUCAUUUACUAAAGUCUCAAAACAAACAAGCUUCUCAUACAUAUUUUAAUUGGAAACAUUUUGUUGUGAGUCAUACGAACCUUCGUUAUGAGAUCUCCAUUCCUUGUUCUAAUCUCACAUAUGUUAUCUUUAAAGAUAACCUCAUGUCCUCUUAGGAGAAGUUGGCCAACACUUAAAAGAUUGUGUUUGAGACCUGAAACAUAAUACACAUCAGUAAUUCUUUUUGCUCCCCUUUUUGUCUUGACAAGAAUAUCUCCUUUUCCUUUGACUUCAAGCUUCUUGUUGUCACCAGUCUUCACUACAUUUUGAUGAGAUUCAUCUAAAGAUAUAAAAAUAUCCUUUCUUCCUGUCAUGUGGUUACUACAACCACUAUCAAGAUACCAUAUUUCUUCAGUGCUUGAUUCUUGAACGUUGAGAGUGAGGAAGAGAAGACCUUGAUCAUUAUUUGAUUGUUCAUGCAUUAGCGUGGUUUCUGCUUGAUUAGAAUUAGCCUUCUUAGACCAACAGUCUGCUUGAAAAUGUCCAUAACGUCUACAAUUGAAACAUUCUAUGUGAGAAAAAUCUCCAUGACCACCACUUCUACCUCUUUCUCUAUUUGAACUUCUUCCCCGUCCUCUAUUUGAAAAAGAUUGAUUGUCUCUGCUUUCUGACUCUGUAUUUGUUACAACGUUGGAUCGUCCAUUGCCUCUACCACCACGUCCACCUCUUCUUCCAUUGGAUCGACCUCUAUAGAAAGACUGCAUAUGAAAAGCUUCUUCUGAAGGAGUAGAAUCAAACAUCUUCAAUCUGAGCUCAUGAGAUUGAAGAGAUCACAUUAAGCUAUUUAUAGAGAGAGUUGACAAAUCUUUGGAUUCUUCAAUUGCUACAACAAUAUGCUCAUAUUUUCUAGUCAUGCUUCUAAGAAUCUUCUCAACAAUCCUUUGAUCUUCAAUUGUUUCUCCAUUUGAUCUCAAUUGAUUAACAAUUAAGAGCACACGGUUAAAAAAUUCUUUAAUAGUUUCAUAAUCUUUCAUUCGAAUUGUAUCAAAUUCAGCUUUAAGUGUUUGUAAUCGGACCAAUUUUACCUUUUCUUCUCCUUCAUACAAAUUUUGCAAUGCAUCCCAUGCUGCUUUAGCAGUAGAGACUCCUGAUAUUCUUUCAAAAAUAUUUUCAUCCACAGCUUGGUACAUGAAAAAUAAUGCAUUCUUAUCCUUUUUUCUAGCAUCUCUUAACUCAUUGAGUUGUUGUGCUGAAAGACCAUUCUCACUUUCUGGCUCUGAAAUAUCCAAUGUCAACAAUAUCCCAAAGAUCUUGAUAUCCAUAAAGAACCUUUAUUUGCUGGCUCCACCGCCUAUAGUUUUUUCCCUCAAAGCGAGGAAGUUGAGGUUGCAACAUGUUAGAUGACAUCUUUCAAUCCUUGCUCUGAUACCACUUUGUUAGAGGCGUUGACGAGCCCACUCUAAAUUUACUCUAAAUCUCACAAACUUUUAAGAGAAGAAACUUGUUCUCUUAGAAAACUCAAUAACACACAAGAGAAAAAUGUUGUUCUCUUGAAACUCACUUACUUUCUAAAACUCAAUUUGCUUCUAUUGAUUUGAUUCUUUUAUCUUUCAUACAAAUGAAGAAAAUGAUCUCUAUAUAUAGUACUCAAGAGACACUUCCUAAAAGACACAAAAUAAAUGAAGUACAUGUAUACAUACCAUUCAUGUACUUGAAUAAUUACAUGUAUCUAGAAAUGCAUAUGUAUCUUGAAAUUAGAAAUGUAUCUAUUAAUGUGUUAUCUAUAAUGUAUCUAGCUUAUUAAUUUCUAACAAGCUUUUGAUACAUAACGAAAUUUGGUUUCAGUAAGAAUUACUAAGUCAGAAGAGUGGCUAGAAACAUAACUAUUUUCAUAACAGAAUAAUCAAUUGAAAUGCCUUAUUAAAAGGCUUACAAAAAACUAGUAUUUACUAAAAAUAAAACCAUGUUGACAUUCAGAUUCUCGCCGUCUUGUUCCAAUUUUUCUUGUUUUUUUUUGGGGAGGGGGGUGGGAAACAACAAUAUUUUCGAUAAACGAAUGUUGUUCCGCUUUCAAGUUAAAUUCAUCAAAGGAAAUGGCAGCUUGUCUUGAGAACGUACCAUCUAUGUGUGGGUUCCUUUCAAUUAGCCAACGUCCCUUCACAGGUAUCACAGUUUGGACCAGAAAUGUGUUGCCCUCCUUAUCAAUGAUGUUUAUUGUGGCUGGUAUGAACCCAGUAUAAUUGAGUCUGACUUUAAUGUUUGCCUCUACGAUGUCGAAUGCAUUUAGGUUGUUCUUUUGGGGCUUUUUGCUCUUUUUGAAUGCAUUCCUUUGUUUCUUAUAAAAAUGACGAUGAAAAUCAUAGACAUGGUUUCAUUGGCCUAAGCCUUGCCAAAUUGGAUGGAGCCAUGCUGUAGGAGAUCUCACUCCCAUUUGGUUACUCUUCAUAAAGAUUUAUUUGUUUUUCUUACAAUAAAUGUGAUGUCACUCCUCGUGAAGAAACCAUGUUUAUCUCCCUUAUGGUGAUUAGUUUGAAGUUAGCAUUUAGUGGUAUUCAUUUGACAUUAUUGGAUUUAUGGGGUUGAGAUUGUUUCAAAGCUAUCAAUGUCACAUAGAGACUUUUUGUUGAGACUUUUUGAGGACCUUUUAGGUGAUUUGAAAGUCAGAUUUAGGCCAUGCAUCUUCUUUAAUUUGAACCUCCACAUUAAAAUAGGACUUAAUGAUUUUAAUGUACAUUUUUCAGAUUUAUGUAGUUUGAAGGAGCGGGGAAUGAAGACUUUCUUAGUGAGUUAACUAUUUUUUGUGUUGUAAUUUUUUUUUUUUUUUUGUUCAUUUUGGUAUGCCAAAGUGAAAUGUAAUAUAGCUCACGAACCUUGACACACUAAAGAAUGAUUGUUUGCCAUAUUUUGACCAAGUAUUGAAUUGUGGAUUGUGAUAUUAAUGGUUGAAAAUAUUUUUCAUUUUUAAAUUUUUGGUUGCAGUGUUUAAUGUAUUAUGGUGUAGAAAUUCAUUCUACAUGUAAAAUUUAAUUUAUAAGCAUACAAUAUUAUAUUAAUAAUAAAUGUGGAAAAAUUUAAAUUGUUUUUGUCAUGUUCUUUGUGUGGUUAGAAAUAUGUUGGCAAUUAGAAAGUUCUGCGACGUUUAUGCUUGGACAAAAAAAAAACAAAUAUUAUUUAAAAACAAAUUUAGCCUGGGGAGAAAUUUUGUUUUGUCCACAAAGAUCUUUUCGUUGGCAGAACUAGCUUCCGCCCACGAAACAAACGUGGCCAGAAAGUUUAUUUUUGUCGACGUGAUGAUGAUCAUGGGUAAAAAAUACCUUUCGUUUUUUUGUGGUCAGAAGGUUUACUUUUGGCGACGUGAUGUAAUCGUGGGCAAAAAUACAUUUUUGUCGACAUUUUUUUCGUGGCUAGAAAUAUUUUUUCUGCCCACGAUUUUAAUUUGCAUGAACAUUUGUGCCGACGCAACGUAAAAAACGUAGGCAAAGAAAAAGACGACGGUGUUUCGACCACCCAACGUGCCCACGAAAAAAAGUGUUGGCAAAAGGUCUGGCCACGUUUUUCAUAAGAAGUGUCCAUGGUUUUCUGCAUGGGCAAAGACGAAAAUUCUUGUAGUGUUUUUUGUUGUAUGUUUUCUGUAGCCAUAAAAAAUAUUCGGGAAACCUUUUCUCCAAGAAGAAUCCGGUUGUAUGUGGGUAUCCAAUUACCAUCUUAGUUUCCCUCUAAAUCCAAGUUUACUAAGUUAUCUUGAUGGGUAAAAUAAAUUAAAUGGGACCUUUGAGGAGGUUGUAAAGGAAGUGUCUUAUAGGAAUUCUUUUUCAUAAUGACUUGUUAAGAUAGCUAGUGCUUUUGAUGUUUAAAUAUUACCAAAGGUUCUAAAUUAUGUUAAUUUUGGGGAAGGAAAAACAAUAAAUUGAAGAAUUGAACCCUCGUUGAAGCCAUUUUUAUGGGUUCUCCAUAUACAUUAAUGAGCUAUGUUUGGGUAGAUUUUUCUUAUGGUUGUUGAAUUAAGUUUUGACACUGAAAGUUUUUUUUUUAGGCUUUCUGAAAGUUGAUGUCUGUUCAAGGAAGGGAAUUUUUGGAUUGAGAAAUUAUAGGAUUCAAACUAAGUGUUAAAUAUGAUUUGAUUUAGGCUAUCUCCAUAUUCUAGCUUUUCUGUUUUAGGGAUUGUAUAGUAUGUUUUUUACCCAAAUUUGGAAUUAACGGUAUCUAUCCUUAUCGAGGCUUAUUUGUGUGAAGACACAUUUUUUGUUGUUCAAAAUUCUCUAGAAUGAAAAGAUUCAUUGUGUGUUACACUCACAUGACCUCACACUUUAAUAAUUUGAUAGUUGUUAACCGACCGUUAUGUUGUUCUACCUAGUUUCUUCUUAUGGUAAUCGAUAUUUCUGAUAUUUUUGGUCGACUGUGGAUCAACAUUUAUGGCUGAAGUAAAUGAUUGGCGUGACUCGACGGAUAACCAUAUAUGUUGGGCUACUUCAACUACCAUCUUUCCUACUUUAUAUUUUUUGGAUUUUUGGACCGAGCAUUAGAAGAAAUCUGACCUUUAACGUCGGUUGAAAAAAAAUGAAAACGGAUCUUUAAUGUCAGUUUUUUAAAUGGGGAUGUUUAGUGUCGGUUUUCAACCGUCAUAAAAAAGUUAUGGUAAUUUUUUUUUUUUAAAUUUUGUAGAGUCAAGUAUCCCUCGUUUAGUCUCACAUUUCUUCCUCGCCUCACGAUUUCUUCUCUCUCAAUUUUCUCUCAGUUUCUCCUCACUCUUCUCAAUCUCACUUUACUCCACCGUCAAGUCCGCCACAGUGGUGCCGUCCCAAAUCUUCAAAAGAUAUGUCGUCCAUCGUCGCACUGUUCCAGAUCUUCGAAGAUCUGUCGAACGUCGUCCCAAAUAGAAACCCUAAGUAUUCUCCAUGAAAUUGAAUCCCUUGUUUGAAACUCACGUUCAUCGUGCGACAUCAUCUUCUCUUUUUUGUGAGCCUUGGUAUAUAGCUACAGAUUUUGUUUUUCUUCUUUCACAAUAGUUUCUAAAUUAUCAAAGUUUCAUUUAAGUGUUAAGAUAUCAAUUCGUAGGAACAAGAGCUUAACUUCAAUUUCAAACCAGAAUGGAGAUCCUCCACAUUCCAUGGUCAUCGUGGCUAAUAAUAAGAAGAUAAUGGACACGAAUCCUAGAACAAAUGGGGCAGUAUAUCAUCAAGAUUCAAAACCCUCGAGCAGUAAGUAAGAUUGCACUUUAUUUUCCUAUUUUAACAAAAAGCACAUAGGCAAAAGAAUCAAUAGUUGCAUUUGAAAAGAUAGAAUUAAUUAUAAUAUGUUUUCCAAGUGUACUUAUCAAAGUAAUCUCUUUCGUCUUUUCAAAUUUUCCUCUCCUUUUUCCUUCGUAUUCAUCCUCAAGGUUCCAUGCUUUUUCUCUUCGCUUAUCCUCCAAUCUCUCAUUUUUUUCUCUUUUUUUAUCAAUCUUUUCCCACUCUUUUUUCCUUUUUCCUUAAAUAUAUAUUAACAAAACUGGCCCUCAACGUUUUUAUCGUUCUUUUCUUUUUAAAUUCAUUAUCCUUCUUUUCUUUAAUUUAAGGUAUCUCAUCUUUUCUUCACCUUUUUUAUGGUUUCUUUUAUAAAAAGAAAAGAAUAAUAUUUAUGACCAUUUUUUUAUUUAUAUUUAUAAAAUUAAAUAAACAUGGAAGAUGGAGCUCAAUUGUUAGAGCACUCGCUUGGCCAGUUCGAUAGACACAGUUAGACAUAGUUAGACAUAGGGAUUGAUACCCAUUGGCAGCAUCUCCAUGGUCUUUUAAUCAAAUUCAAUAACACAUCUAUAUUUCUUUAUUUAUUAGAUUGUUGACUAGAAAAUAAGUUGGGGUUUUUUCCUCUUUUUAAAAAGUUAUCUUUCUUUUAAGAAUUCGAUUAAAAACUAUUUCGUAAAAAUAAUUGUAACAAAUGAGAUUUAGACUCACAACCAACACAAGACUUGUGCAAGGGGCACAACCACUUCAGCACAAGUAUAAUUUAGGCAAAGAAAAGCCGAAUUUAAUAUGUACUGUAAUCUAACACUUCAAAAAAUUGAUUCCAAACUAUCUCCAAAUCUAUCAACUUUGUACGGCUAAGCAAGAGAGAUACAAAAAGUAGAAGAUUCCAUUUUAUCAAAAUUAGACACCAUGGAAAUGAAUAUGUUGACUGUUAUAAACCACACACAACUAUAUAAAUACCAAACUCCUAACUCCUAAGUAUUCACGAACAAAACACAUAAACUUUACUACAUAAUAUAUCAUCUUCUAAAACUAUCUGUCCAUCAAAAGUAGAUUGUUGCAGUAUGAGUUUCGUAAUUAAGGGAUCACCCAUUCCAAACAUCGAUCAGCGAAAGGACGUGCAACAAAUUGGAGGAUUGCAGUGGACAUACACAACGAAGAAAAAUCAGACACUUUGAUUUUCCAUCGUGUGAUAAACGGCCUGGAGCUUGUGAUUAAUGAUAUAAAUGGUAGCAUAUUGUCGUAUACUCUUGUGGUGGAAGCUAUAAAUAAGGAUAAAAAUAUCUGGACAUAUGUGACUUCCAUUAAAAUUACAAAACCAUCAAGCUAUGAACUCGUAUAUUUUAGAGAUCCCCUCGGGUACUACCCCGAAUAGUAUGAAAACAAUCCUUCUAUAUGUGUGUGUGUGUGAGAGGCAUUAUUGUCUUUUGCCUAUAUGAAAAUAAAUGGUAUAACCAUAUAAUAAGAACAAUGAUACUUACCUAUUAUCUCUCUUUCUAGUUUUUCUUUUUUAUCAAAUUUUGCAGUCAAGUAUACAUGGUGCAUUUCAGAAAUUAUAAUUUGUUAUAUAAUCGUAACUUGUUUGUCGGUCUUAGUGCUUCAUUAGGAAUUAAGGGAGAGCAACAUAUAGCGAGGCAUAUCUUUGACCUCAUUCAUUUCAAAAAUAUGAAACAAGGCCAAAGUGAAUAGAAUUAAUGCACAACUUCUAGGUAUUUUCCAUCGAUUUAAGGAUUCUCCUCCUUUUUCACGUUUCUCUCUCUCUCAAAAGCUUCCUUUUUUUUUCAUAUGAUAAAAAUCUUUUGAUACUAGUUGAGAUGUUUAGUACACCCUAAUCUCUCUUCACGUGAAACUAAAAGAUCCAAAGGAAAAAAAAAAAGACAUUUUCUCUAAAUUUUCAUCUCCCUCCACUAUCUUCCUUCUCUUUCCUUCAAAGAAAGAAAAUAACCAACAGCAACAAACCUCUAUCCCUUUUUUAUUUUUUCUUUUCCUUCCUUAAGCUUCUAGGUUUUUCUUUAAUUAUGUACGUGUGUAUUUUUUUUUCCUUCUAAUUUCUUCGUUUUUAUCAUAUGUACAUGGUUUCAUUGGCCUAAGCCUUGCCUUGAAUACAGAAGCCAAAAAACAUAAACUUCUGUAUUUUCAUAACACAAUGAUCAAUUGAAAUGCCUUAUUAAAAGCCUUACAAAAAACUGGUAUUUACUAAAAAUAAAACCACUUUGACAUACCACCUAUCCACUAACUUAACCUGUUAACAGAAAAUAAAUUAAAAAACAUUAAUUUAGAUAAUCACAUAAUUUGAAUCAGUAUUCAAUACAAGUUACAAAAUUUGUGUGUUGGCCCUCCUAACACCCCCAUUUUGUCUUUUUUCUUUUUCAAUUGUCUUUUUAAUCCCCUCGUCAUUUUCGCUUUAUUAAAAAAAUAAGAAAUGAAGUACAUCAAGAGUGUCCUCCUUAAAAAAUACAAUUUGGAUCAGCAGGUGCUCUAGAAAUUUCAACAAUGAAUCAAAAGUAUCUUUUUAAACUAUUCUAUUAAAGUAUUUUUUUUUUAUUAGAAAUGAUAUAUGUAUCAACAGCAAAUCGUCAUUUGAACUCUAAAUCUAGGUCUCACACACAAGAUUCCAUUAUAUCAAUUCGACUAAUAUCUCUCACACGGAAUUAUAAAUAAGAAACUCCUUAAUAAUAACAAGCAAAAUAAGUCAGCGACUUAAAUAAAAGUAGUGUGUAUAUAUAUAUAAUUACAAUAUUAAUUCAUCAAAUGAAGGAAAAGGAAUAGCGAUUAAAGAUGUGGAUGAUGAAUUUGUGGAAGAAGUUGCAAAGGUUUGCAGUUGAAGUACGAAGGUGUGGUGAGAGUGGUAAGUUGCAAAGGUUGUGGUUGCUCUCCUUUUGGAUAAUUUGGUUGGAAAGAAAUAACCAAAAUUUCAACGUUAAACAUGUCAGCAAUGCAGGAUUAUGGGAAAACAUAUGUAACCAGUCAGUCCUCCCCGCUCCGUGGGCUCUUAGGCGGCUAGCUCAAGGGGAACUGUUGGCAAAGAAUCCAUGCUGGGAACAAUCUCUCUCUGCUUUCAUCUUCUCGCUUCCCUAGUUAGGAUAGUCGGACCUAUAUAUUCCCACAGGGUGGUCGGACGAUUCAAGAAUUUCACUAAGAAGUCAAAAACUCAAAACUUCUGUUACUUUAGCUAUGAUGCGUAUUAGCAAAUUUAAAUCAAGAGAGAGUAUUGAAGACUGAUUCAAAUAACGUAAUUAUCUUAACUUAAUGUUUUUAAUUAUUUAUGUUAAUAGGUUAAGUUUGUGGGUAGGUGGUUUAUCAAGGUGGUUAUUAUUUUUAGUAAGUAUUUUUUUAAGCCUUUAAUAAGGUAUUUUAAUUGAUUAUUCUGUUAUGAAAAAAAUUGUGAAGUUUUUUCGUCUGCUGAAUUUUUGCUUGUGUAUUCAUAAGUUGUCUCAAAGUUUUCCAACAGAUUUGAGCUUAUUGAUUACUUUCUCAAAUAUGGAGGAAAUAUUAAACUUUCGGUGUUAAAUGAGGAGAGAAAGAGGAUGGUGGUGGAAGGAAUUCUGAAAUGGGUUUGUGGGCAGUGAAAAGACGGAAAGCCGCCGGAGAUGAGGAGGUAGUUGCCAACUUGCCAAGGGGUUUAGAGGAGAGAAGUGUUGCAGCCGCGUCGGAGGAGAUGGAGUGGAGGGAGAAGCCGGGAACGGGGAGUUGUUUAGACACCGGUGAUAUCAAUCUUGGUAUCUUUAGUUGGUUACAGUCAACCGCCAAUGUAUCUUAAUUUUGAUCUGUUGAAGAAAACAUUCAAAUGGAUUUAUUCUGGAAAAAAAAAAAUCCCCGAGUUCUACAAAGAGAUUCAUUCUUAGAUUGAAAGAAAAAAGAUGGGGACCAAUGUUAUAUUUAUAUACCAAAAUUUACAUUUUAUUGAUAGUUCCCGUAAAACAAAGACUUUGAUAUUGAGGCGUAACAAAGGUGUUAAAUAGGAGUAAAUCUGGUUGAGAUGGACGGAUCCUAUGAAUUAUUUUUAAAAAAUUUGAAGAAACUGUUAAUAUUUUUUAAUUCACAAAGAAUUAGGGUAUAGUGAAUGUUUGGAGUUAAAUGUCACAAAUCACUUGAAUUUAGAGCACAUUACAAGAAAAUCAAACGUGCAUAUAUAUGUAUUAUGUAUAUGCUUGUGUGUUAUAUAUAUGUACGUAUGUCGUCAACUAGAUAAAAUAAAACAAAGUUAGUUAACACACAACCAAGCAUACAUGUGAGUUUAAUAAUUUUACGUACUUUUAUUACCUCACAAACUAUUGGUAAUAGUUUUUAAGUUCAUGUAAAACAUAUAUUAGAGCGGAUAUCAAUGACACAGAGAGUGUCAAUAUAUAGUUAUUGCAUGCACCACUAGGGAAGGGGAACAAAGUUUAUAAGCUUUUUGGAUGCAGUAGUUUCCAAUACGAUGAUGCUAUAAAACCUUUGCAUUCCGAGAGGGGAGUUUUGGGCGAGAAUAACAAGGAUAUAAUAUUUCUCGUUAUCCAUAAGCAUUCUGUUACCGACCAGGCCAGCUUCCACUUGAUUGAAGAUCAUGGUUUGUUCAUGCUCUUUCACACCAAAUUCUGCUAUCUUUUUCACGUGUGUAUCAGUCCUUGAAAUUGGCUUCCAGUUUCCGAAGACAUCCGAACUCGACUCACCCUCAAGUACUAUAGAGUCAUCAAAAUUAGCCAUAACUUUGGAUUCUCCUCAGUAAACUACUUGAAGUACAAAUCGAAGAUCAACAAAUGAUCUUCUGAGUAAAGAUUUGAUGAAGAAAUUUUGUAUUUGUCGGUGGUAUGUGUUCUCAAUUGUAAGGAGGGUUUAAGUAUCAUAUACAAAUGUGUAGGUGUUUUCCUACUGUGAAAUUUGAUAAGGUCGAAUAUCCAUAAUAUGCUAAUUCAUGUAAUAUUUUGGUCUUAUGACGAAAUAUUGAUUCCUAUAAUUUAGUAUUGGAAUUUUAGUCCUAUUGACUUUAAACGUUAGAAUUUAAUUCUUUAAGGUUUGAUAAAAUAACCUCAUAUAUGAUUGGUUUAGCUAUUAUUUUUUAAAAACAUACCAAAUGGAUUAGGAGGCAGGACAUCUCCACUAAGUGGACACUUUCGUAACACUAUCAUCAUUCCCGUUGCAUUAAUAAUUGCAUAGUCUCUGUUGUAUAGACAAUUUAAUUGUUUAUGAAUACGUAUAUUAUCAAGUCAUAAGGAUUUUACAAAAUAUUUACAACCUAUAGAAAAUUUUAUCAUUGAUAGUUAUAGUGAUAGAAGAUGAUAAAAUCCAAAAUUUUGUUAUAGCUUGUAAGUAUUUUAAUUUACUUUACUACGAGUAAACAUAGUUUAAUUAUAAUUACUAUGCAUACAUGUGUUAUCAAUUAUUUUUUAAUGAUAAUGUAUGACUUUAUUUGUUGCCAAAGUUGGCCAACAUGUCGAAGCUAUCAAUAGUAGAAGCAUGAUUCCAAAGUAAAUAGAUUAUUCGAAGCUAUCUCCAAAGCGAUCAUGUCGCUCUAUGUUUAUCUUUGUUUUUUAAUAGAUAUAGUCGAUUAUACACACUAAAACAUUUAGAGUAGGCCAAGAGGACUCGUCUCCCUCAACUUUAUAUCUACAUUACAUAUAUAUCAAACUCACAUUAUAUCUUAUAUCAUUAGUUAUCUUGACUAUGUAAAUUGGUUUAUCAAUUUCUUUUAGAUCCAAAUUUAAGUUCUUCUCCACUCUUCACAUUUUUUUUUAGAUUACUUUUACUAGAUUAUAUUAACGCUUCCAUUAACAAAAUUUCUAAAUUCGUGGCUCAUUACACGAAACUACAUCUAGACAACACAUCUAAUAUCCAACUAUCCAAUGGUUGUGUGAGUAUGAUCUUCAAACUAGAAAUCAAACCUAUUAGUUAAAGGAUUGGAGCAUCCAAUACCUUGUAACAUCCUCUUACCCCAUUCUUUUGAAAAUUCAUGAGUUUUGAAACUCGUUAAUUAUUAUUUUAACUCCUCGAGGAUCCUCUUUACCAUUAAUCUGAUCUUUACGAUUAUUCUGAAAAUAUAUUUCAGGUAUGAAUACGAACUAAACGAUAUAAAAUAUCAAAUAUAAAAGAGUGAAAAUAUAGAAAGUUAAAUUUCUACAGACCCACUUGAUGAAAUUCUCAUUAUAUGCUUUGGUAGGAUAAUGGAGAUCGCCCACGCCCCAUUGUGAACCCCCGAGUUCCAUCUAACAUUUUUGGAUUAAGGUAUUAGUAUUUGAUAAUCUUUAUAGUUUUUGAUAGAACAGUAUUUGCAACAUAGUCUAUCAAUGAUAAACUUCUAUCAUUGUCAGUUGAUAGACUUAAACAGAUUUUAUUAUAUUUGCAAAUUUUUUAAGUUGUUGUUUACUUAAUUAUCAUAUUUGCAAUCCAAUUCACGUUAGUAUGAGUUUGGUCGCACAUGUUUUUAAAGUUUUUUCUUUUUGCUAAUAUGAACUCUAUUGAAAAUCUUACCUUGAAAAAAUCGGAAGAUAUUAAACUUACUAAAAGAUAAAAUUUUAGGUCAUCUAAUAUGACAUCAAAAUUCAUGAAAAUAUAGCAAUUAUUUGAUCCAAUAAAAAAUAAUUAGGAUCCAACUUAAAAGGCACUAUCAUUUUAGGAAAAGUUUAAUAAACCCAUAUGCUUUCAUUUAAGAAAAGUUUUAAUUUAAUUUGAGUAUUGGAUUCAUUUCUUUUUAAAUAUAGGGGUAGUUGCAAAUUUAGUAAUUAAAUUUAAAAUAAUUAAAUAUAUAGCAACAUUUUUAAAAAUUUGCAAAUAUGGUAAAAUUUGUCAAAUUCUAUCAAUGAUAUAGUCUAUCACUGAUAGACCAUGUUGUAAAAAUUGGUUUAUCAGCGAUAGAUCAUACGAGUCUAGAUACAAGUCUAUCAGCGAUAGUUUUGGUAUAUUUGCAAUUUUUUUAAAUGUUGUUAUAUCCUUAAUUAUUAUUCCUCAAAUGCUCAUCCAUUACAAUUACCUUUAAAUUAAAUGAACAGUUGGUCAUGUGGCCAAUUUCAAUUGUCCGACUUUUAAAAUAUAUAUUCUUUUUCUUUUGUGAUAGAUAAAGAUGGAAUAAGGUAUAAUUUAAAGAGACUUUUACAAAAAUAUCAAAAAAAAAAUUAUGAUAAUAAAGUUCAUGUUACUACUUUUUUUAAAUUUGCUACUUUAUCAUAGUCGAUAACCAUUUGAUAGUCUUUCCCAUAUUUUUUCAUAUUCGCAAUACUAAAAAAAAAGGUGUCAAGAGUUGUUUUUUCUAAAUUUUUUCAUAGCCAUUUACGAAGAAGAGCAAAAAGUUUGUGUCCUUUAUAUGGCUUAUCCCAAGACCCCUUUUUUCUUUUGGGGAUGUGAUAAUUGACCAUCUGAUGAGAUGAAUAUUACGUUUGUCAUUGGAGUUUCUUCACACAAAAUCCCUCCAAAUCUUGUCAAUAUCUUUGCAUAUAGAGGAAAUUAAAGGGCCUUGAAUACCGAAAGUUGGUAAGUGGGUUGACUAACAAGAGUGAAAUUAAUCAAUGUGUUUUUGUCUCCCUUGGAAAGAUAUGAAUAUUUCCGAUUACUAGUUUUUCUGUAGAUUUUUUCUGUGAUGUUAGCCCAAAAAUGCUUUGUCAGAGGUUUGCCACCCAAAGGAACACCCAAGUAAUUGAUGGGUAAAAACUACACAGUAAUUCCCCAUAUCUCUGCCACCCUAUUCAAUCUGCUUGAGUCCACAUUAAUCUAAGAACUGGUGGAUUUGUUGAGAUUUAUGUUAAGCCCAGAAGCAAGUUCAAAGAGGUGAAUCGCAUAUUUCAUAUUUUCUACAAAAUCGUCAUGGUCUUCCAUGAAGAGGAGAAUAUCAUCGGCAAAUAAAAGAUGAGUGAAUUCUAAUUUUCAUUAAAUCUAACCCCUCUAACUUUGUUGUUCGUCUCCAAGAUCUUAAGUAGCCUACUGCGGUAAUCCAUAGCAAGAACAAAUAUAAAUUGAGAGAUCAGAUCUCCUUUUCUAAUAUCUCAGGUUGGUUGGAACUUCCCUCUAGGCUUCCCAUUUAUAAUGACAGGAUAUUGUACGGAGUUGAUACAUGAGUAAAUCCAAGUUCUCCAUCUAUGGGGAAAGCCCCUUUCAACAACAUGAACUCAAUAAACUUACAGUUAAUUUUAUCAAAUGCCUUUUCAAUAUCAAAUUUAAUGACUGAAGCGGAAAUGACGAGAGUGCUAAGGGAGUGUCGACCUAAUAGAGAUGUCGGGAUGCACCUAAUACUGACCCAACGUAUCUUCUUCUUAAAAAAAUAUCAAAUUUAAUGACAAAACCCUUUUUCCUUUUUCGAUUUCCAGAAACCAAUCGCUUCAUUCGCAAUCAAAAUAGCAUAUGUUAUUUGUCUUCCUUUAACAAAUGCUACGUGGUUUUCAGGAAUGGUAUUUGGGAGAGAUAUUGUAAGUCUUUCGACAAGAAUCUUGGGCAUUAUCUUAUAGAGAGACGUAGUUAGGCUAAUAGGCCUAUAAUCAGUUGCAAGGGACCAUUUUUCCUUCUUUUCUAUAAGAGUGAUGUAUGUAGAGCAUUCACAACCUUGUUUAUGAUUCCAUUUUUGCGUAAGUCACUGAAAAUAUCAAUAAUAUCACCUUUGAGGAAUCUCCAAGCUAAGCUUCUUUAAAUAAUUUCAUAAUGAAACCAUCAGUACCUGGACUCUUAUUGUUAAAGAAAGAUUGAAGAGCGUUGUAAAUUUUCGAUUCAUGAAACUGUUUGCAAAUAUCCAUCUAUUCUUUUGUUAAGAUAGGAGUCCAAAGCAAAUUAUCAAAGAGGAAUAUUUAUGUCUCUGUAUAUAUCUUCAAAAUGAUCAAGAAAAACUAUUUUAAUCUCAGCAUUAGUAGCACAAACAGAUCCGAAUAAAGUAGUGAUAUUUGAUAUUUGACUUCUUCUUUGCAUAACUAAGCAUUAGUAGUGCAAACAGAUCCGAAUUAUGUAUAUAAUAUUAUUUAACCUACAUUAAUAAUGCAAUAGUUACAUGUAGAAAUUAAUUGCAAAAUAUAUUUUUAUUUAUUGAGUUUCCAUCGCAUAAUGUGUGUGUUAAGAAAUUUAGGAGAGUGUCUAGUUUAAUAUGGUAGAAUAAAAUCUAGUUUAAGGGUAAAUUAAAAGAGUUAAAGGGGGGGGAAACAAUAGCAUGCAAUAGCAAUAAUAUAAUAUAAAAUAAUUACUAAGAAACCCAUAGAAGUGCAUGUUUAUUUUUAGAUCACAAGAAGUUAGAAAUGCAUCAAAUAUUCAUACACCACACACAAACUUCUUAUAAAAUCAAACCAACUCAACUCUACACUCCAAACACAAACAAUUAUUAUUACCAACACUCAACAUCACUCUUCACUCCACCAUGGAUACAAACAAUAACAAUUACCAACUUAACUAACCCAACAACAUUGCACCUACACUUCUGGAAGUGCAAUUAACUAGGAGAGCUUUUAUUUUGCUAUCCCCUUCUAUAGAUGGACCAUAAAGGGGAGUACGCCACACAUACGUAUGAUAACGCAUUAAAGCAGGUUAAUUAAAAGUAGGAGUAAUUUUGUUAUAUAUUCAUUGUUCAGCCAAUAAGAGUUUCUGAAAGUAAACGAGCUCCUUGAUAUGCUCCCAUGGUUGCUCAAAGACAACAGCCAUAUAGCUUUCAAUCUCACAAUUAUCUUUUUCAUCCUUAGCCGUCAAGGUAAAGCGGUAAUUGACUCCAUCCACAAUUUGUGACUCACAAGUCAAUAUACCAAUGAACAUCAAGUGUGUCCCCGCUUUUUUGUUGUGCUCUGCUACUGCCCAUUCUGCUAAUUCUUUCAUGCGUGAACUUUGAGGAUUCUCAACUGGAGUAUAGCCGCCGGGCACGAGAUCAGAAGCCAUUUUAGAUAUUGUUUACUUACUUGUAAUAUUGAUAAACUUAUUGCUAUAUGGAAUGCUUUUAGUACAAUAUAUAUGUUUUGAAAGUUUGGUAUUUAUACUACUCCCAUUUAUUCAUAUUCCAACUACCCCUUCCUUUCAAAUAAUACAUAUUUGGACAAUAGAAAAUAGAAAAAAUAAUAAUACUAAUAAAACCCCUCCUUCCUAUGCUUUUAAUUAAUUGGACAAUGUAAAACUCAACUAUUAACAAAUGAAACUUGGGUUAUGAGUCUAUUAAAAUAAUAAUAAUUUAUUUUAUUUGGAUCAAUUUGAGUUAAUUAAGAAAUGAUAACGCCGAGUCAAAGUCUAUAAAUUGAUUUUAAAAGGUAUAUAAAAAAUAAAAGCUAAAUUACAAAAAUAAAAAAAAUACCUACGUUGUCAAAAAUAUCCCUAAACUUUCAAAAGUUUAAAAAAUAUUCUUAAACUUUCGAAAAUUGUUAAAAUUAGGGGUUUUUUAAAAAAUAUAACAAACCGGCAAAUUAUUUACAUUAUAUAGAACAAUUUUGAAAACAGAAAAAACCCACAAGCCUACAAUAUUGGAAAAUACAAAAAAAAAUGAUUAAGUCAACACGCGAUUAAUCGGCCACAAGCGCGGGUGUAAUUUUUCUUCUAAAGGAUAUGAUAUACGAUCUUAUAGGUAAUGAUACACAAUUAUGUAGGUAUUAUCAACACGAUAGUGUAAUUCUUUUUAACGAUAGAAAAAAUAUUUCAAAUCUAACGAUUGUGUUGACCAUACUAAAUGAUCGUGUAGACUAUGGUAAGUGAUCGCUUAGAUCAUAUCCACAUGAUCGUGAUGGAAAAAUGCUUCAAAUCUAAAAAGUCAGUGAUAGACACUGAUAUGUUUCUAUAAGUGGCAUUGAAAUACAGUGAUAGAAGUUUAUCCGUUUCUGUCAUUGAUAGAAUACAAAAUUUUGCUAAAUAUUUUAAUUUAUUUUGCUAAUUUUAAAAAUGCUCCUUCGAUAUUUUAAACUUUGAUUAAACAUAAAAUCUCACGAAGUUUCAGAAAAAAUAUUCUCCUUUAAACAUACUAAAACAGUAACUCGUAAAAAAAAUCUCACACCAAUAGAUCUAUUAGAAUGUGUUAGAAUUUAUAUAUAUAUAAUAUCGUUAAAGAACGGACGUAUUUUCAAAUAUAGCAAAAUGAACCAAAAUAUUUACGAUAUAUAGCAAAAUUAUAUAUUAUAGAUAAAUACUGAUCGAGACUUAUAUUCAUGUCUAUCUAAAUCACUGAUAGAUAUUAAUAGAAGUUUAACAGUACCUAUAACGCUUGUAUUGUUUAUAAUAAUUUCUUAAAUGAACAAUUUGUUUUUGUUUUUUUGUUUUUUUUGUUUCUUUGUUUUUUUUUUUUUUUUUUUUUUUUGUCUUUUUAAAUAUUGAACAAAGCAAUAAAAUAUUUAUAUUGUAUAUAACAAUUUCGAAAACGAAAAAAACCCACAGGCCCAUAAUGGAAAAUACCAAAAAUGCUCUUUGAUGAAUUGACGUCCAAUGGACGUAAUAUAUUUGGAAAAUGAUCAUUUAGAUUUGGAUAAUCAAAUCUAAACACCCAGAUCUAAACAAUUUUUUUCAAGAUUUUUUGGUAUGUGAUCGUUUAGAUUUCUCACACUAUCAUUUACUUUAAUCGUUUAAAUAUGCGUAGUCCAAUCUAAAUGAAUUUUUUCAACAAAAAAAAUUGGUACGCGAUUGUUUACAUUUGACACAAAAUCGUUUAGAAUUGAUAGUUUAAAUUAUGGUAGCCAAAUUUCCACGAUUUUUUUUUCACGAUCUUUUAUAUUUGGCACACGAUCUUAAAAAAUCAAAUAACAGUUUGAAAAAAAUAGCAAGAUCUUGAAGCAAAUAACAAUUUGAAAAUAAUAUAAAAAUUUAUCAUAGAAAGAAAAAGAUGAUGGGAAGGAAAAGAGAAAAAAUUAAAGAGGAGAAAAAACAAUGGAAAGAAAAAGAAGAAUUGCAUAGAAAAGAAUAUGAAAGCGAAGAACAAAUGAAAAUAUUUUUAAUAAAUUGAAGAAGAGAAAAAGAUGAUGGGAAGAAAAAAUAUCGCAAAAGAGGAAAAGAAAAAAUAUCGCAAAAGAGGAAAAGAAAAAAAAAUCGUAGAAGAUAAUAGAAGAAAAACGAUGAUAUGAAAGAGCAAACCUUAAAUUUUUUUAAAAAAAUGGUAAAUUUCGUGGCCUUUAAUUCUUCAUUUUGUGAUACGGGUUGUAAAUAUUUUAUCCGAGUACUAUUUAUGAAAGUUAACCUUUUUAAAAAAAAAUUAAAUAACAUAAAGAAAACAAAAAAAAAAACUGGUGUAGUACAGAAAGACAAACCUUUAAAAUUUAGUCUUCUCUCAAUCAUUAGUCUUACUUAGUUAAUUAAUUGGGUGUUUGCAAAUGUAAGUUUUUUUAAAAAAAGAAAAUAGGUUUGGAUCAACAGGUGCACCUAAACAUCUAUGGUAGGUGGAACACCUCUUUAGCACCAUAUAUCAUUCCUACUUCAUUAAUGAUUAAAAAUAGAUACAAGAAGCAGAAAAAUAUAGAAAGAGCUAGAGAGAAGUCCAAACACCGAAUAAAAACAAAUAAACAAAAGCAUUAUUGAUAGUAUGAAAAGAGGCGCAUGGUUUAUGUGUAAUUAGUAUAUGGUUAACUAGUUUGAUUAUCUCAAUGAACAAUAUUUUUUAUGAACAAUAUUAGUGUGUGUGCUCAUAUGCACAUGGAUAUCUGUGUGAACAUGUAAAUAGAUCUUUGAUGGCAAUUCUAUUUUUUUUAACGUUCAACUCAUAUGUUUCGUACUUAUCAUGAUGUAGAGUUAUAGAUUAUAUAAGUAAUAAUAUUUUAUUUUCUCUACCAUAAUGGAAUAGUUGUAGAUAGAACAUUGUAAAAUAUAAAUUUUUAUUUAUUGAGUUCACAUCUCAAGUAUUCUCCCUUAAAAAUUUAACUAAAAUGUUGAAAGAAAAAAACAAUAAAAUCUCAUAAAAAUACAUGUUUUUUCAGAUUGAAAGAAUGUAUCAAAUAGCCAACUUUUUGUACUGCAGACACAAACUUUUAAAAUCAAUUGAACUCAAUUUUACAUGUUGAAUACAAACAAUUGUUAUCAACUAAACUAACUAUGUAGGUCAAAUACACACCAUUAUUAUCCACCUAACUUAACUCAAUUUUUACACCAAACAACAUUUUAUAUACACAUAAAAGUUGAGAGGACUCGAGUUGUCUUAGUUAGAUAUGUAUCAUGUAAUUUUUAUUUUAUUUUAUUUUAUUUUUGAAACAAUAUAUUAAAGGUAGAGGAAAUGUAAGUCACAUCAACAUAUUUCAACUCAGUCGACCUAUUCCUAACAAAUAUAUGCAUACUUCAAUAUCAAAAGCAAUGCACUAUUUUAUUUCCAAAGAAAUACAAAAGGAAGGUAGAUAGAGAAUAUCUCCAAACUUAUAUUCUAUUAAGAGAAAACAAAUGAAAAUAAGAGACAGUUGUUAUAAUUAACUGAUAUAUUAAUUAAGAAUUUAAAAAGCAUUUCUUUGAAAAUGUCAGAAAAAGGACUAAAAAUUGUGAAUAAAUAAGAAUAAUAUCUACAAAUUAAUAAUUCAAGAUGGGAUGGUUAUCGUAAGAUAAAUCUUGGGAAAAAAUAUAGAUUUGGUAUUGAUAAAAAUUAAUUAAACUAGCUAGUUUUUGAAUUACUGUCAAAUGCAAGCCAACCAAAAAAUAAGAAUGAGACCUUUUUAAAACACACACUCAAAUCUAAAAACUUACCUUUUGUGCAUUUUUAAAAAAUGGUAAUUAACUUUUAAAAUAAAAUUUAUUUAAGUAAAGUCAGACAAAAAUAUAAGUGGUUGUUUAAAUAUAGUGUAGGAAAAGGUUGUAUUAUUUAUGUCUAUUUGAUACAUGAUUAACUAGUUUCAUUAUCUUAAUAAAUAAUAUAUAAUACUUUUAUGAACAAUGCUACUACUUGACACCCAUGCAUGCGUGGAUGGGUGAACAACAUAUAUCAACAUAUAUUUAGAUCUAUGAUGACAAUCGUCCAUAUGUUAAACUCAUAUGCUCCAGGAUCUCAUGAUAUAGAGUUAUAUUGUAGAUCAUAUAAAAUAAUAACAUUUUAAUUUGUCUACAAUAAAUGUUAUAGUCAUAGGUAGGGCAUUGUAAAAUAAAUUUUUAUUUAUUGAGUUCACAUCUCAAACUUGUGUUAAGAAUUUAGGAAAGUAUGUGUAGUCAUUGAAUUGAAUGGUAGAACACAAGGUUAAAGGGAAAAAAACAAUAACAAUUUAAAAGAACAAAAAAAAAAAAAACCCCAAAAAAAUGCAUGCUCUUUUAGGUUAAAAAAAAUGUAUCAAAUAUCCAUAACUGGACACAAUUUGACUCUUCGUAUCCCGACACAAAACUUUUUAGAUCAAACAAACUCAACUCUAUACUUUAAAACACAAUCAAUUAUUAUCAAUUAAGUUCAGCUAUACAUGUUAAAUAAAGACAAUUAUUACUAACCUAACUUUAACUCAACUUUACACCUCAAACAACUUUUCUAUACGGACAUAAAAUUUGAGAGGACUCAAGCCCAAACCUUAAUUAAAUAUGUCGAUGACAUAAAUCAUGUUAUUUAAUUUUUAUUUUAUUUUUUAAACAAUAUAUUAAGGAUAGAGGGAAGGAAUGAUCAACUCAAACUAUCUCAACUAGAUUGACAUAUUUUCACCCAAACUAAACAGGUAUGAAAUAAAAGGGAUGCAGUAUCUCAAAAAGGGAAAAUACAAAAGAGAGGUCGGUAGGGAUAGGUAUUAAGAAAAAACAAAUGAUUAAGACAGUUGUUAUAAAUUGAUAUAUUAAUUAAGAAUUUAAAAUCAUUUCUCUCAAAAGGUCAGAAAAAGGAAUGAAAAAUGUGAAUAAAUAAGAACAAUAUCUACAAAUUAAUAAUUCAAAAUGAAAUCGUUAUCAUAUGAUAAAUCUUGAAAAAAAAUAUUAACUAAUUAAUAUAGGAAUGACACUAGUGUAUAUUGAAUGGAAAAUAACGAUGUUUUUAGGCGGUGUUUAUUUAUUUAUUUGUUAGGAAUUGUUUAUUUAGAUCACACUAACAAAAUAAAUAGAAAAAUAUGUGAGAAAGAAAGGGGGAAAUAAGAAAAAAAGAUGUGUAAUAAAGAAAUUGUAGAUAUAACUCAUGCAACUCUUUUCUUUGUAUAGUGUAAAUAUAACAAAUAUAAAAAUAUUUUAAUCUGCUAUAUUUGCUAGUUUAAAAGUGUAAGUGACUUGAACCCUAUUAUCGUAAAUUUUCUUUUUGCUAUUUUUAUAAAUUUUCUAAAUAUUAAUGAGAAUUAAUAUUAAUAAAUGAAGAUGUAAAAAAAUGCUACUUUCUUACUAUAUUUUAUAAAUACUUUUAAUAUUUUUUUUUGACUAUUUAUAACAUUUCUUCCGAUAAAAAUAAAUUUUCUUAUAAAUUAAAUAUGGUCAAUUUUUAUUAAUUGUCAAAGCAAGCCUAUUUUGGUGUAAUUGCUUAAUUUGAGGUUGACAAUUCAAAUCCCAAAUCCCAAUGUACUAAAAAAAACUAAUUAAUCAAUAUAGGUUGCUUUAUUAUUUUUAUCAUCAAUUUUGUUAGAGAUAUAACUAUUUUUUUAGAAGAAUUAUUGUAAAUGAUAAAUUUGUUGUUAGAUUGAAACUUCAUAAAAGUUCUAAUAAUAAAAUCUAAAAUUUUGCUAUUUUUUAUAAAUAUUUUGGUUCAUUUUGAUAUAUUUAAAAAUAUUUAAUGUUAUUCUUAAAUCUCAAAUUCUCACUCAAAAAGAAAAAAAAUCUUAUAAUUAAGAUUAGUAGUCAAAAUUAUUGUUCUUUAGUUUAAUUAGAUAAAAAUAUUAGUUUUAUUAGUUUCAAAAGGUUUAUUUAUAAAUAUAGUAAAAUCAAAAUAUUUUUAAAAAAAUAGUAAGAAUAUAUCCCAAUCUAUAGAUGGAUUGAGAUAGGGCAACAUAGAUUUUAUGAUAAGUUAUGAUAUUUUGUUAUAUUUGUAAAUGUUUUCAAAACGUUUGUUAUUUAAAAUAAUUUUUUCUUUCAAAAUCACUCAAAAGAAUAUUUUUAGUAAUUUAAAAACAAUUUUAAUAAUACGAAAAAUGUGUUUACCAAUGUAAAAUUAAUCAUUGAAUUGAUUUUAGAAAAAUUGCAUCAAAUGACAAAAACAUUUAGAAAAAACAGCUCAUAACACCUUUUUUUUUCUCUUCAUAUUGUAAAUAUGUUAACAUUAAUGAUAUCAUAUGGCUAUCAAACGGUAAUUAUAGGACUAUCGAAGAGCUGUCCGAUGGUAAUCAUAAGGUUACUAGUUUUUAAAUUUUUUACUUCUCCAAUUUAGAAAAUUUAUUAAUAUGAUCUCUAUUAUCAUAAAUUAAUUUACUAUUUUUACAACCAACCCCUUAAUUUUUAGUGGUUAAAAGGUGGGUUUGGAAGUGAAAUAAAUGGGAGAUUGAUUUCUAGAUUGGAAAAAAGGGAGAAGGUCGACUCCAACAAUAAAGGGAAGAGAAAAAAAAAAAGAACUAUUUUGUAUCCAUGUAUAUUUUUUUUACCUUUCUAUUAUUUUUUAAAAGUUCAUCAAUGAUGUUACAAAAUAACUAUAUAAAUAGAAUUGCCAAAAUCUUUUUUGGUUGACACAAAGACUCAUCCCCUGCAAGAAAAUGUUGAAGUCAUCAUGUGAUCGUAAAUCUAGAUUUUGAAUCUAUCGAUCUCAAGUUUGGGGUCUAGAAUAUUAAAACAAAUACAGACUAGCAUAUACAAAAACAUACUGUUAACUAUAGAUAAAUUAAAACAAGCUAGGAAGAAUUUAGAUAAAAACACACCAAAAGCAUAUAUGCUUUUUAUACUUUUAUUUUAUCAUAAAUUAGUAGUAGUUUUCAUUCCAAUUGCAUAUAAAACAUCCAUACACAUAAACAAUAAACAAGUGAGAGAGUAGAUAGUUUGUUGAGAUCGUAGAUUAUCUAUGCACCCAUUAUCAUAAUUGCAUCAUCAAGGAAGACGAAAAAAAGAUACGACCUCCUUCACAUUUUUGGAUGUAUUUUCCAACACAAUGGCGCUAUAAAACCCCUGAAAUGUGCGAGGAUGAUGAGCAAGUAUGAGAAGGUUAUAAUAAGUGUUGCCACCCAAGAACACCGUAACGAUCUGUCCAUCUGCUACACUAUUCAGUAUCAAAUGAUCUUCUCCCUGUUCUUUUACUGCAUACUCCGCCAUCUCUAUCACUUUUGGAUCGUCUUUCAAUAUCGGAUUACAGGAACCAAUCACGAUUGAAGGUCCAAAUCCAGCAGUGUCCAUGACUUUAAAUUCUCUUCAAAGAAAAAUUAAACUCACUCGAAGAACUAGUAAUGGUUUGUGGUAUGUCCUAUAAUUUUGAUUAAGACUAGUUUGAUAUUUAUAGUACAUAUCAUACCAACUUAGUUCUAUGAUGAAACUUUGGUUUUUGAUCAUUAAUUAUAUUGUUAUAUUUUUUAUGAACAAUAUUUGCGUGUAUGCACCCAUGCAAGCGUGGAUGUAUGAACAUGUAAACUUUGUGUGUGAACAUGUAAAUGGUAUGAUGACAAUCCUUAUUUUUUGUGCAUAGGUUAAACUCAUGUGCUCCACCAUCUUAUGAAUCUAUAGUUAUCGUGGAAAAUUGUCGAGGAUAAAAAGAUUUAGAAAAAAACGUCUCAUAACAUCUCUUUUUUCAUAUUGUAAAUUUGGCAAAUAUAACGGUAAUCUGUUUUUAAAUUUGCUAUUUUUGCAAUUUUGAAAAUAUAAGUGAUAUGGAUUUUAUUAUCAUAAAUUUUUUUUAGUAUUUUUUGUGAACUCUCCUUUAUAAUAUAAUUUUAAUUUAUUUAUAAUAAAUGAUAUAGUUGUAAGUAGGGCAUUGUAAUAUUUUCUUUUUUAUUGAGUCGUUCACAUCUCAAAUUUGUGUUAAGAAUUUAGGAAAGUAUGUGGAGUUGAACGGUAUAGAACACGAAAAAAUAAUAACUUUUUAAAAAAACCCAUAAAAGUCCAUGUUCUUCAUAACUUAGCAUAAUUCGACUCUUUGCACCCGGAUACAAAACUUCUUAAAUCAAAUAAACUCAAUUCUACACUUUAAAACGCAAUCAAUUAUUAUCAACUAAGUUUAACUAUUUAUGUCAAACUCAACAUUCUGCCUCAAACAACUUUUAUGCGUAUUUAUAAAAGUUGAUAGGGUUCAAGCCGUAUGACCAUAUUAUUUUUAUUUUAUUUUAUUUUUAAAAAAAUAAUAUAUUAAAAAUAGAGAAAAAAUACGAAUUUAAAUAUUUCAAUUAAAUUGACAUAUCCGUGACAAAACUUCUAAACCUGCAUAGUAUAGUAUGCAUUAUCUCAAAAAAGAAAAAUACAAAAGAGUGGUAGCUAGAGAAUUGGUCCAAAGUUAUAUUCUAUUAAAGGAAAAACAAAUGACUAAGAUAGUUGUUAUAAAUUGAUAUAUUAAUUAAGAUUUUAAAAACAUUUCUAUUCAAAGGUCAGAAAAACGACUGAAAAUUGUGAAUAAAUAAGAACAUUAUCUAUAAAUUAAUAGUUCAAAAUGAAUUUGUUAUCAUGUGAUAAAUCUUGAAAAAAAAUAACUAUUUAAUAUAAGAAUGACACUAUUAAAUUGAAUGGGGAAUAACAAUGUUUUAGGAAGUUUUUAUUUAUUUUUUAUGUAAAUAUUUUUAUUUUAAAAGUUAGAUCAUACUAACUAAAUAAAUAGAAAAAUAUGUGGGAAAGAAAGGGGGAAAAGAAGAAAAGAAGAUGUGUAAUGAAGAAAAUUGUGGAUAUAAUUUUGGGAAAUCAAAAUAAAAUAAUAAACAUUUUAUUCAAAUAAUUCAAAGUUCAAAUAUUCGAUGAAAUAUUGAUAUAUUCUUUGAUUUAUAUUUGAAAAUCAAAAAAUUUCACGUGGAUAUUACAUAUCUAUGAAUAGCUUCAACAUAUUUUAUUUUAAUAAUGUUUGAAAAUAAAAAUGUCAUCUACUUAGUCAAAUAUCAAUUAGAAUUACUAUUUAUAAAUUAUCAUCAUGCUCAUCCAAUCAACUUAACGUUUUAACAUAUGAUUCCAAAUACUUUGUCUUUUCAUUCACUUCCAUUGCUCCAAUGUCACUAUCUCAAAACUCAUCAAAAUAGAUUAUAUGAUUAUAUACAUCAUUCAUGCUUGAAAGUAUAGUAAUAUAACAUAUUGGAUUAAAUUAAUUAGAACUUUUGAUAAUUCCAUUUGUUAAUUUGCAUCAUCUUUUAUUAUUAUUAAUUAUUCCUCUCGCAACAAAUUUGUGGAUUUUGUAAUAAUAUAGCUAGAGGACGAGAGGGAAAACAUAUUAUAUCUAAUGUCACAAUUGAAUCACUGUCAAAUAUUUCCAAAGAAAAAAAAAUUGUUGUAUUUCGGUUUGAGAUGUGAUUUUUUAUUAAAUACUUAUUUAAAUGACAAAACAUAUUUUUAGUCGGUGAGAUUUAGGAUUAAUGUCUAUUUGGUCUUUGAAAACAAGCACUUCAGUCUCCAUCACAAAACCACUCUUAAACAUACAUGCUAGAAAAGAACUAUAUAAAUAGAAUUAUCAUAAUUUGUUCUAAUUGAUACAAAGGACUCAUCGUGCAAGAAAAUGUUGAAGUCAUCAUGUGGGCGUAAUUCUAGAUUUUGAAUCUGUCUCAAUUUUGGGUCUAGAUAAAUUAAAACGAGAGAGAAUUUAGAUGAAAACACACCAAAAGCAUACCUGCUUUUUAUACUUUUAUUUUAUCUAAAUUUGUACUACUUUUCAUUCCAAUUGCAUGUAUAACAUGCAUACACAUAAACAAGUGAGAGAGAGUAGAUAAUUUGUUGAGAUUGUAGAUCAUUGAUGCAUCCAUCAUCAUUGCAUCAUUAACGAAGAGGAACAAAAGAUACGACCUGCUUCACAUUUUUGGAUGUAUUUUCCAUCACAAUGGUGCUAUAAAACCCCUGAAAUGUGUGAGGAUGAUGAGCAAGGAUGAGAAGGUUGUAAUAAGUGUCGCCACUCAAAAACACCUCAACGAUCUGUCCAGCUUGUACACUGUUCAGGAUCAAUUCUUCUCCCUGUUCUUUCACUGCAUACUCUGCCAUCUCUAUUACUUUUGGAUCGUCAUUCGGUAUCGCAUUCCAGGUACCAAUCACGAUCGAAGGUUGUCCAAUUCCAGCGGCAGCCAUGACCUUGAUUUCUCUUUAAAAAAAAAAAGUAAACCGGCCACUUGAAGAAAGAUAGUAAUAUGGUUUGUGGUAUGUUCUAAAUUUUGAUUAACACACUAGGUUGGUAUUUAUAGUACAUAUCAUACAAACUUAGUUCUAUUAUGAAAUUUGGUUUUUGUUAAUCAUUAAUUAAUAAUUAAAGAGGUUUUGGGAAACGUUACCACGUUUUGUUGUGGUGUUUUUUUAUUGAUUACUUCACAAAGAUGCUAAGUUGGUUAGGUCAAUGAAAUGAAAACCUAAUUCAUCUUUUAAGUCGGCUUUCACACCCAACCCUUUUCCUUUUUCUUUUUUUCUUUUUUUUUUUUCGAACUUAUAAUAUUAUUUAAUAGUUUAUUUUCAAAUAUAGAAAAAUAAUUAAAAUUGUCACGACGUGAUCGCUACACGGAGCAACCGACCUCCAUCGUUUAUUUAAUUUUAAUAAAUAAAUAGUUUUAGAGUCGCCACCAACCAUAUCAGGGUGUGAUUGGUUACCCAAAAAGGAAAAAUAAAUUGUCUCCAUAAAUUGAGAAAUUUAAGUUCGGAAGUCGGUUGUGUGUAGGUAAAGUAUUAGCACCCUACAACACCCACAAAAUGGUUACCCAAUUUUAUCUUUUAAAUUAAAUUAUAGAGGUUCACAAAACAAAGUUUUUAUUUAGGUUUUGUUUAAAUGUCUCAUGUUUAUGAAUUCAUAUCGAAGAAGAUAAAACCUAAGCAUGAAUUGAUA
rnacentral:lncRNA from 1 species